rnacentral:rRNA from 1 species
CAACUUUCAACAACGGAUCUCUUGGUUCUGGCAUCGAUGAAGAACGCAGCGAAAUGCGAUAAGUAGUGUGAAUUGCAGAAUUCAGUGAAUCAUCGAAUCUUUGAACGCACGUUGCACCCUUUGGUAUUCCAAAGGGCAUGCCUGUUCGAGCGUCAUU